AUUGAACGCUGGCGGCAUGCCUAACACAUGCAAGUCGAACGGUAACAGACCUUCGGGUGCUGACGAGUGGCGGACGGGUGAGUAACGCGUGGGAAUCUGCCCACUAGUGGGGGACAACCCGGGGAAACCCGGGCUAAUACCGCAUAAUCCCUACGGGGGAAAGCGGGGGACCUUCGGGCCUCGCGCUAGUGGAUGAGCCCACGUCGAUUAGCUAGUUGGUAGGGUAACGGCCUACCAAGGCGACGAUCGGUAGCUGGUCUGAGAGGACGAUCAGCCACACUGGGACUGAGACACGGCCCAGACUCCUACGGGAGGCAGCAGUGGGGAAUUUUGGACAAUGGGCGCAAGCCUGAUCCAGCAAUGCCGCGUGGGUGAAGAAGGCCUGCGGGUUGUAAAGCCCUUUUAGUGGGGAAGAACGGCGGAGUGUGAAUAGCACUCUGAAAUGACGGUACCCACAGAAAAAGCACCGGCUAACUCCGUGCCAGCAGCCGCGGUAAUACGGAGGGUGCGAGCGUUAAUCGGAAUUACCGGGCGUAAAGCGCGCGUAGGCGGUUCAGUCAGUCUGCUGUGAAAGCCCCGGGCUCAACCUGGGAAUAGCAGUGGAUACUG
rnacentral:rRNA from 1 species